AUGGGGCAAUCUCAUCUCGACGGUUGGCCUUUUCCAGUGACGACGUCCCGUUGUCCUGGGUUGCUUGUUGGCAGGACCCUUUACUGGCUGUCCACGGGUGAUACCAUAAUCGAGUUUGAUUUGGAAGAGCAAAGUCUAGCUGUGAUGAGUGUGCCUCCUGGUACAGAGGAAGUCCGCGAGCGUCAGAUCAUCCUGGCUGAGGAUGGCGCUAUUGGCUUUGCAAUCUUGUCUUACCCGCAUUUUCAAAUGUGGCAGAGAAACAUGAACUGUCGUGGUGUUGGCACAUGGGUGCCGUGGAAAACCAUUCAAAUGCACACCAUUCUUGGCCUCCCUCCCCAGCUUGAGUUACCUAUAAUGAAAACUAUAUUGUGCUAUAGUGAGGAUACCAAUACAAUUUUUUUGUCUGUGGAUGAGAAUGUAUACAUGGUUCAACUCAAGUCGAUGCAAUCCAAGAGACUUUAUACAACCGAGGACGUCUAUGGCUUAUAUCUUUUCAAGAGUUUUUAUCCAUCAGGUGAUUGCUCAUCCUUUUUUAUAUCAUAA
rnacentral:rRNA from 1 species